rnacentral:tRNA from 3 species
AAGCCCCGGCACUCACUCUGAGUGCGCCUCCAAAUUUGCAUUUUGG